UUGCGUAUACUAAAGAAGAAUUUUCUUCCUCAGUUUUGGAUUAGAGGUAACAAAAGGACCCAUAACAAAUAAACUUAUAAUAGUGUUUAGACUCUGUGGUACUUUACAAAACACUGUUUGAUGCCGGUGAGUCGAGCGAAACUUGUAGAAUCAAAGGGAUCAGAUACACAUAAUAGUACGUGCAAUGAAUGCAAGAAAUACCAUUUCUGAAAGUUAGCUUUAUAGCUAGCGUUCCCUAUUAAGACAGCCGAACAGGAAUUAACUAAAUUUUAUUUCGUAUAAGAUGUUGGCCAAACACACGGUGAACUUGUGUUGGUAGCUAACUCGCGUCUUUAUGUUCUGCUGUCCCGUAGAAUUUUAUUCAUAAUACCAAAAGCAUUUCAACUGGUAUCUUUGAUGUCAUACCGAGGAGUUUGAAUGUUUCUUAAAUUUAACUCCAGUUACCCAUCCAGUUUGGACAAAGAAAGACGCUGAAAUUUAGUGGUUUAAUAGUUCAUCAACCAACAUGAACAUUUUAUACAAGCCGGCAUCUUAACUCGACUUGAUUAAAAAUCACCUCGAAGGCUUGGGUAAAACCUGCUCGAGCCUGUUGGAGCAAAAGAGUGCAGAGCGCUGUGAAGGUGUCACCGUGAAAAUCAUGUCCGAGGACACCAACGUGGACAGGUUCAUUAAGGAGACGUCUAUUUUGGAAGAGUAUAACAUCAACUGGACACAGAAACUUGGAGCUGGUAUCAGUGGUCCUGUGAGGUUGUGUGUGAAGAAGUCAACACAAGAACGAUUUGCUCUUAAGAUCUUGAUUGACAGACCGAAAGCUCGCAAUGAGGUGAGACUUCAUAUGAUGUGUGCCUCUCACCCCAACAUUGUUAAAAUAAUGGAGGUGUACGCCAACAGCGUACAGUUUCCACAUGAAUCCAGUCCAAGGGCAAGGCUAUUGAUUGUCAUGGAGAUGAUGGAAGGUGGCGAGCUGUUCCACAGAAUCAGCCAGCACAAGCACUUUACAGAGAAGAUGGCCAGUCAGGUCACAAAACAGAUAAGUCUUGCUUUGCAACACUGUCAUUCAUUAAAUAUUGCACAUCGUGACCUGAAACCGGAGAACCUGCUCUUCAAGGAUAAUUCACUGGAUGCCCCUGUAAAACUUUGUGAUUUUGGUUUUGCCAAAAUCGACCAAGGUGAUUUACUGACGCCACAGUUCACUCCUUACUAUGUAGCACCCCAGGUGCUGGAGGCACAAAGACGCCACCAGAAAGAAAAGUCUGGAAUUAUACCUACCUCACCCACCCCUUAUACAUACAACAAGAGCUGUGACCUGUGGUCCUUGGGGGUGAUCAUCUAUGUAAUGCUGUGUGGAUAUCCUCCAUUUUACUCCAAGCACCACAGCCGCACCAUCCCAAAAGACAUGCGCAAAAAAAUCAUGACUGGCAGCUUUGAAUUCCCUGAGGAGGAGUGGAGUCAAAUAUCUGAAAUGGCCAAGGACAUUGUCCGCAAGCUACUUAAAGUCAAGCCAGAGGAGAGGCUAACCAUAGAGGGAGUAUUAGGCCAUCCCUGGCUCAACUGCACUGAGGCACUGGACAAUGUGCUUCCCUCUGCUCAAAUGAUGAUGGACAAGGCAGUUGUGGCUGGGAUUCAACAGGCCCAUGCUGAGCAACUGGCAAAUAUGAGGAUACAGGAUCUCAACCUCAGUCUAAAGCCACUCAACUCUGUGAACAACCCCAUUUUGAGAAAGAGAAAGCUACUUGGCACCAAACCCAGUGAUGAACUUUUCUUCAAUGAUCCAGAGAAUGAGGCAGAGGACACCAACGUGGGUCUGGAAAAACUAAGGGAUGUAAUAGCACAGUGCAUCUUGCCACAAGCUGAAAAGUCCCUUCACCUCUCAUUGAAAGUCCCCUCACAGGAAAUUGGUCUCAAAAUGCUCCUACAGAUUAUGUGGUGGAAAAAUAGCACAGGAAGGCGACAACGAGGAUGAAAAACUGAAUGAAGUUAUGUAUGAAGCGUGGCGCUUCAAUCGGGACUGCAAGCUUCUCAGAGAUGGAUUGCAAGGGUUAAGUUGGGAUGGUAGAAAUUUUUCAGACAAAGUAGAUCGCUUAAAAUUGGCUGAAAUUGUGAAACAGGCCAUUGAAGAAAAGACCAAUUUACAAGACUCCCUAUAGCAAACGCUGUAGUUCUACAUCCUUUUGUACUGUUUAUUAUAACUGCAAAAACUCUUUUUUUUUUAUUAAAGUGCAGACCUUUUUCCAUGGUCAUGCUGCAGGCUGUUGUAUAUCUGUAGGUAAAGCCAAGUUGUUGUUGGUAUUUGUUCGCUUUUUAAACUAAAGAAAUACUGUACAGUAUUAUGUUAAAAAUACUGUAUUUUCAUUUCUGAAAAUAUUGAAAAGUGGGAAAACCAAUCAGUUUUUACCUGCUGAAAUGGAAGGGAUUACACAAUAUGUCAAUAUGUCUAUUUUCUGUGUUAAAUCAAAUUGAAUUGACUUGAAACAAAACAUGAAACAAUGUCGCUUAAACAAGAAUAAAUACAAGUUAAGACAAUGGUGGGCAUUAAAACUUUGAUGUAAUGUGCUAAGUAAGGGAUAAUCCACAGCUAUAAAUAAUUAUAAUGCACAACAUGGAGCCAAAAAAACACCCAACACAACGUUUCAAUUGUUUAAGGCACACUUAGCCGUGGAUUAUCCCACUUACACCUUGGUCACUUGCCAGCAUUUAAAAGUUAAAGCUCUCAUUAAUUUUUGCAAAACAAAUUUGAAAGAAUAAAUAUAAGGGUUGAAUUUAUCUAAAGUAGUGCAAUAAGAUUACAUGUAUUUGAAUGAAUUAAAAAGCUGUAUGAAUAAUUGUAAAAAAAAAGAUCAUGAGUUUUUUUUCAAAUAUCAAAAACAGUGAAUUUAAAUGCACAAUCCAGAAUGUCCUAGUAAUAGCCCCAGAAUGUAGAAGUGUUGGCACUCUUAAGAACAUGUAAAAUUUAAUUUCUAUUCUUUGUCAUAUUCACAUUAAUGGGGGAAAAACAGCAUUACAGAAAUUACAUCUCUCUGUUAAGGACAUGACCGUUGUAAAACUGGCACCUUAAUGACGAGGGAAAACCAUCAAAAACGCUUUGAAUCCUGCAGACUUUGACCUCUGAGACACUGGUAUGGUAUCCAUUAAGGCUGCAAUUUAAGGUUGAUAUCGCGAUACAUCCUUGAACGAUUUGAGGGACAGAGGCAUACUGUAAUACUCGCAAAUUAUAAGCUUCUCAUUUCUGCCUUUACACCCUUUAAAAAAUUAGACCCAAUCACUUUGACUGUAAGUGCCUCAGUGCAAGCUCAAUUUUAACUGUUUUGUUUUUUGUUUUGUUUUUUAAGAAAAGGAGGGACAAGUUGAAAUUUUUUUUUUUUUUUUUGUGGUUAUCAAAAUUAUGCCAUAAAUGUUGUUGAUUGAGCUUAACUUGUAUUGAACCCGAAAUAUUUCUUUAAGGAGGACAGCAGAGUAGGUGCAAUAAUAUAGAACAGUGAUUAAAACUGACUGGAACUGAGCAUUAAAUGGUUUUAAAGCACUCAUUUCAGCCAAUCAGAAUCUAGUUUUCUGAAAGACCAUUGGAUAAAUUGAGUAGUGUUUUGUUUGGGGCAGAGAAUUACAUGAAAUUUAAAGUUAUAUUGUAAUUUUAAAAGCACUGAAUUUCCUAAUUUCUUAAGUAUAACAUUAUGUAACACACAUGUAGUCUUGCAUUGAAACUAAUCAAAUUAGUUCCUUCUCAUUAAUAUCUUGGAACUAUCAGCUCAGGCACUGGUCUGAUAGAUCUCUGUCAACCAAAAAUUUAAUUUUCUGCAUGAAGAUAUAAUAUGCAUAAGCAACUGUAAUUGAGUGAAAGAAUAUCACAAAUGUAGGAUAAAUGUUGUCACUGAAGUCAAAUAAUAAAUUGAACAACUAACCAAAUAUUUUUGCAUCCUACUGGAUUGUUGGAGUGUCAUGCAGUUUGGAUAAACAACAUGCCCUCCACAUGCUAAUUCUGCUGUAGUGACAUGUUGAUUCGUUAAAGAACGAAGCAAUUCAUACUUAUUACCUAACUUAUACAGCAAGUGAUAGUUUUACCUGCAUUCAAAUGGGCUCUGCCUGAACACUGGUUAACAUAAACAAAAAGGAUUUUCAGAACAAUUUCACAUACGUUUUGAAAAUCCAUUGAUAUACAACUUUGCACAAACUAUAAUUUGGUACGCUUUAAUCUGAAUCUGGCGUAGUACAUGGAUGGGGUGGAGUAAAUUCAGUAAUGUCCCUGUGUCGAGGAAACUUUCUGUUUCUGUUAUGUGACGUACACUGUAAGAAAUGAUUGUGUACUUUAGUAGAUUUAAUGAAAAUAAAAUGAGUUAACUAUAUUUAAUUGAAUUAUGUAAGCUCUCUUUUAAAAAAAAAAAUCUUUGUAAUAGAAUGUAGUCAUUUUUGUUGUUAAGAGUAUAAUAAUUUUGUCUGAUUAAUUUCCAAUGAAUAGAUUAUGGAGUGAAUCCAACUUAAUGCAAAUAAGUAGUUUUAUAUUUAAAAGCAUUUUCUGUUUAAACUGGAUCACUACAGUUUGUCCAAUUUGGUACCUUUGCAACAAAUUUUUAAAAAGGAAAAUCUGACAGCAAUCUUUUGUAAUA